AGCCGCCGCUGGCUCAGCUCGCGCUGGGGAGGGAACGGAGCAGGAGGAAAGCAGAGCACCGGCUAGCCGGAGACAGCGGCCUAGGCUACCCCGCCCGCUGGAGAGCGCCGGGAGCGGAUCCCACCCCGCCGGGCUAGUCACACUCUCCCCUAGAGGGACGAGGGGGCAGUUAACGACCCCCAGGGCAGCUACGCCCCCUAGAGGAGACAGGGCAUUUCACACCCCUCAGAGGAGAGCGGGGGUGAUAAAUUACCUCAUUACCCCUCUGAGCGGCGAAAGAGACAAUUCCUCUCCGUCUGAGGAGAAAAGGGGACCGCUCAGUUCCUUCCACGCGCGCCCCACAGUGCCGGCGGGGGCGGUCGUGACCCUAGCACCCCCCGCAGCACCUCUCGGAGACGGGUGGGAGCAGGCAUUGGCCUGACGCCUGAGAGAAGGGGGGUGACUUUGUCUCGUGGCCCCCGAACGGCUGCCGGAGAAGGGGGUGCAGCGGAGCCCCUUGUCUAGCUCCGCGAGAGGAAGGGGGCGGUUGUGUUCCCGCGGGGUGGGGGCGAGUCCCCCGCCGGUACGGAGCCCAGGGGGGUGCAGGUGCUGUGACCGGAGAGGAGCGCUCCUCGGAUCCCUAUUGUUGUCUCGGUCUAUGCUGGUAAUCACCCGGGGGCGGCUGGGGACCCGUAGGGGGAGAGAGAGAGGCACCGAGCGGGCUGAGUGGAGGGUUUGCUGCUGCUGCUGAGAAGAAGGAAGCGGAGGAGAGACACCAUUUGCCGGCCCGGCCAUGGAGAACGCUCACACCAAGACGGUGGAGGAAGUUUUGGCUUAUUUCGGCGUGAACGAGAGCACUGGGCUCAGCCUGGAGCAAGUCAAGAAGCUCAAGGAGAGAUGGGGCGCCAACGAAUUACCCGCUGAAGAAGGAAAAUCCUUACUUGAGCUUGUGCUUGAACAAUUUGAAGACUUAUUAGUUAGAAUUUUGUUGUUGGCAGCUUGUAUAUCUUUUGUUUUGGCCUGGUUUGAAGAAGGUGAAGAAACAAUCACAGCAUUUGUAGAACCUUUUGUAAUCUUACUUAUAUUAGUAGCUAAUGCAAUUGUGGGUGUGUGGCAGGAAAGAAAUGCUGAAAAUGCUAUUGAAGCUCUUAAAGAAUAUGAACCUGAAAUGGGCAAAGUAUAUCGACAAGACAGAAAAAGUGUACAAAGGAUUAAAGCAAGAGACAUUGUCCCUGGUGAUAUUGUGGAAGUAGCUGUUGGUGACAAGGUUCCUGCUGAUAUAAGACUUACUUCUAUCAAAUCUACAACUCUAAGGGUAGACCAAUCAAUUCUGACAGGGGAAUCUGUAUCUGUCAUUAAGCAUACUGAUCCUGUGCCUGAUCCUCGUGCUGUGAACCAAGACAAGAAGAACAUGCUUUUUUCUGGGACUAACAUUGCUGCUGGUAAAGCUAUGGGAGUAGUUGUAGCAACAGGAGUGAACACUGAAAUUGGCAAAAUUCGUGAUGAGAUGGUAGCUACUGAACAAGAGAGAACACCACUGCAACAGAAACUGGAUGAGUUUGGAGAGCAGCUGUCCAAAGUCAUCUCACUCAUUUGCAUUGCUGUCUGGAUAAUCAACAUAGGUCACUUCAAUGAUCCAGUUCAUGGUGGCUCCUGGAUUCGAGGCGCUAUCUACUACUUUAAAAUUGCUGUUGCUCUUGCUGUUGCUGCUAUCCCUGAGGGUCUGCCUGCUGUUAUUACCACAUGCUUGGCCCUAGGAACCCGCAGAAUGGCCAAGAAGAAUGCUAUUGUUAGAAGUCUGCCAUCCGUUGAAACGCUGGGUUGCACGUCUGUUAUUUGUUCUGAUAAGACUGGUACUCUCACAACCAACCAGAUGUCAGUUUGCAGGAUAUUCGUCCUGGACAGAGUAGAAGGAGAUGCCUGUUCCCUGAAUGAAUUUACUGUAACAGGGUCAACAUAUGCUCCCAUGGGAGAAGUGCAUAAAGAUGACAAACUUGUUAAAUGUCAUCAGUAUGAUGGCCUUGUAGAACUAGCAACGAUCUGUGCACUUUGUAAUGAUUCUUCUUUGGAUUACAAUGAAGCUAAGGGAGUGUAUGAAAAAGUUGGAGAAGCUACGGAGACUGCACUCAGCUGCCUGGUUGAGAAGAUGAAUGUAUUUGACACAGAAUUAAAGGGGCUCUCCAGAAUUGAACGUGCAAAUGCUUGCAGCUCGGUCAUAAAACAACUCAUGAAGAAAGAGUUCACUCUGGAAUUCUCAAGGGACAGAAAGUCCAUGUCUGUCUACUGUACUCCAAACAAACCGAGCCGGACAUCCAUGAGCAAGAUGUUUGUUAAGGGUGCUCCUGAAGGUGUACUUGACAGGUGUACGCAUGUUCGUGUUGGAAGCACUAAAGUACUAUUAACUCCAGGAAUUAAGCAGAAGAUCAUGACUGUCAUUCGAGAGUGGGGUACUGGUAGAGACACAUUGCGUUGCUUGGCUCUAGCAACACAUGACAAUCCACCAAGAAGAGAAGAAAUGAACCUUGAGGACUCUGCAAACUUUAUUAAUUAUGAGACCAAUUUGACCUUUGUUGGCUGUGUGGGUAUGCUGGAUCCCCCAAGAACUGAAGUAGCCUCAUCCAUAAAGUUGUGUAAGAAGGCUGGUAUUCGUGUUAUUAUGAUUACUGGUGACAAUAAGGGCACAGCAGUAGCCAUCUGUCGUCGUAUUGGUAUCUUUGGAGAAGAUGAGGAUGUUUCUUCAAAAGCCUUUACUGGACGUGAGUUUGAUGAACUUUCCCCAGCUGUCCAGAGAGAUGCUUGCCUACAUGCUCGUUGCUUUGCCCGUGUAGAGCCUUCCCAUAAGUCUAAGAUUGUUGAGUUCCUCCAGUCUUUCGAUGAGAUCACGGCUAUGACUGGUGAUGGUGUAAAUGAUGCCCCUGCACUGAAGAAAGCAGAAAUUGGGAUUGCUAUGGGGUCAGGUACUGCAGUAGCUAAAACUGCUUCUGAAAUGGUAUUGGCUGAUGACAACUUCUCAACCAUCGUAGCUGCUGUGGAAGAAGGGCGUGCAAUCUACAACAACAUGAAACAGUUUAUCCGUUAUCUCAUCUCUUCGAAUGUUGGAGAAGUUGUCUGUAUCUUCUUAACUGCUGCUCUGGGUUUCCCUGAGGCUUUAAUUCCCGUCCAGCUGUUAUGGGUAAAUCUUGUAACGGAUGGUCUCCCUGCCACUGCUCUGGGCUUCAAUCCUCCCGAUUUAGACAUCAUGGAUAAGCCACCCCGUAAUCCUAAAGAGCCCCUGAUCAGCGGAUGGCUCUUCUUCCGUUACCUGGCUAUUGGAUGUUAUGUUGGAGCUGCGACAGUGGGUGCUGCUGCAUGGUGGUUCAUUGCUGCUGAUGGUGGCCCAAGAGUUACCUAUUACCAGCUGAGUCAUUUCCUACAGUGCAACGAGGACAACCCAGAAUUCACAGAUGUAGACUGUGUGGUCUUUGAGUCGCCAUACCCAAUGACAAUGGCACUUUCUGUUCUGGUCACAAUAGAGAUGUGUAAUGCUCUCAACAGUUUAUCAGAAAACCAGUCCUUAAUGAGAAUGCCUCCAUGGGAGAAUGUCUGGCUGCUGGGUUCUAUUUGUUUGUCCAUGUCACUCCAUUUUCUUAUCCUUUAUGUAGAACCACUGCCGCUCAUCUUCCAAAUCACACCUCUGAAUGUGACACAGUGGCUGAUGGUGUUGAAAAUCUCACUACCUGUAAUUCUGCUGGAUGAGACCCUUAAGUUUGCGGCCCGUAACUACCUGGAACCUGGUAAAGAUUACGUGAAGCCUGCAACCAAACCAUGUUCUUUGUCAGCAUGCACCGAAGGGAUUUCCUGGCCAUUUGUGCUCAUUACUAUGCCCUUGCUUAUCUGGCUUUACAGUACAGACACUAACUUUAGUGAUAUGUUCUGGUCUUGACUGACAGAGUGAUGCUUUUACAUAAAGAUGUUUAACUUAAUCAAUUUUUUUAUUGUUUAAAGCAACUGUCGAUUUCUGCUGAAUUUUCACAUGAACAUAUUUGCCGGUGAUGGAGGUUUCAUACUCUAGAUUUUGUGUUUUGCUUUUUCUGACUCCAGUGGGGGCAAUAUUUUCCUCUUUUAUACACAACUAAAGUGUCCAUUGACAUGUACAGAGAACUAACACUAUUUUAUGCAAAUAUUUUUUUGUAGAUGAAAAGCAUGUACAGUGUUCUGUUUAAUAGUCUAUUCAUCCUUGUAAAAAAAACAAAACAAAACUUUUUUUUUGAGCCAGCAGACACUAUCAAACUAAAUUGGUAGCAGAUUUUAGGGAAUGAAUGUGUUUUCUAAAACUAAAAAAGCAUGCAACUGUCUGUCUCUUGCAUGAUCAUCUGAACUUAAGUUGAUAUCAGUUUAUUUUUUAUUCAUAAGCCGAUUUUUCUGCACUGGGCAGAGAGUACUGCUACCUCAGUCAGUGGUUUUUUUGUUUUGUUUUGUUUGUCCCUCCUUAUGCCCCCUCAUCUUAGGUUCCUGACUGUCUUGUUUCUCCCAGUCUUUGUAAGAGGUAGAGUAUGCCUAGUCAUGCUUGUGCAGAAAACAUAAUUCCAGGUGGAACCUGCUGGGUUCUUCUGUCAUCCCUUCAACACACGUAGUAUUUUAAGGUUAUUUAUUUAAAUGUCUAAUGUAUUUUAUUAUAACAAACCUUGUUUUGCCAGUGUUGCCCACUUUACUGGGGGAGGGGGGGCACUACUUCAGUCUAGCUUAAACUUUUAAAUGGACAAAGAAAAUUCUAUUUCUUUUUUUUAACUCUAAAAGAUGGCUUAAGUUCCGUUUUUAAUACCUUAUUUACGUGUGUCAGAUGUUUUUCAGUCUUAGAUCAGGGCUUUUGUAAUGUGACCUGGAAAAAAUAACUUGCACUGCAUAGUUAGAAAUUGGAUUUCUUACACUUUUAGUUGGGGCACUGAUCAGUUACACAUUUUAUGAGUUACUCUGCUGGCCUUGUUCUAGCUUGACUUAGAGAAAUAACAAGCUCGUGUGUGUUUUUGUAAAAUCUGUAAAUAGCACAUGACCAAAUGAACAUAUUGUAUAGAACUAUUUUUAUUUUAAUGUGGCACUAACCACCUUCAUUAUAUUAUGAUAAAUGUUAGAGCAUGUUUUCAAAUUCAGUCCUGUAUCAACAAUGUGUAAGUCAUUAACAGUCCUAACUGUGGUGUUUUUCUCCAAUGCCUUCCAACGUUCAUCGACUAAACAUUGCUGGAGUAAUCACUUCCUAAACAAUUUUGCAGAAAUGUAAGGUUGUUUUGUUGCGUGCAUGUGUCUUAGCAACACAUCUGGCAAAACCUCUGCAUGUAUCAUGUAAAAAAACAAAAACCUGCUUUUCCUAAAACAAAACUCAUUGUGUGCUCUGUGGAGGAAGUGUGUGGUACCAUUAGGGCUUCAGUUAUACAAAUGUACAAAUGUGCAAUAUAGCUUAACGAAUCAGGAAAAAAAUCUCCAGAGAAGUUUGGUUUCUUUGCUGCAUGGAGAAGACUGUUUAUUCUUAAACAUUAGGCCAAAAUUAAGGAGCUGUCAGCCAAGUUUCCAUAUUUCUCUGUAUAAAAUGUAUAAUAGACUAAUGCAUGCCUUCAGUUGUAAGUAGCCAAAUCUUUCUGUAUUGUAUCAUCUAAACAUACUACUUUAUGAACAGCUAUGUACAAUAUGCUAUACUAUUUAUAAAUUCAGUAAAAAAAUACAGAUGUUGAAUGUUUAAACUGUAAGCCUCCGGUUCAUAACUUCAGAUUUUUUAUUUUUUGUGUGCAAAGAUACCUCUCUUGCACUAAUGUAACUUAUUUAAUUAAAUCUAAAGCAGUAGACAGAUGUUGGUGCAAUACAAGUGUUUGUGUGAUGCAUUUAUCUAAAAAAGUGUCAGUUAUAACAACUGCAUGUGACCUUUAGAAGUUGUUAAGAAGAUCAAUUGUCUAUUUCAAUGCUGACAAUAAGCAUCACACCUAAUUUCAUUGUUUCAGGUAAAUAAAUUUAUUCUACAAUAUCUACUUGGCGUGUUAUUUUAUGCACUUUGUUUUCUGCAGGUAUAAGUGUACAUACUUCAGCACUGUCUUAUAUUAAUGCCAGGAUGACAAUUACUAGCAGCAACAGCAUUGCAAUCUUUCCUACUAGAACUAUGCAGAUGCCAGCUGCUCUUCCUGCAGUAUUGACCUCCUUGCUGGUGUGACUUUUUUUUUCCUCUGUGCAGGGGCUAGCGUGUAGUUAAGGGACACUGUCGAGUACUUUGAUCACUUAAUUUUUUUAAAUGCUCUCCAUUGUUUGUAAAAUCCCUCUGAGAAACUUCAAAAUAAACAUUUUUCCCCAACUCA